rnacentral:rRNA from 1 species
AGAAUCAAACGCUGGCGGCGUGCCUAACACAUGCAAGUCGAACGAGAAAGUGGUAGCAAUACCAUGAGUAAAGUGGCGCACGGGUGAGUAACACGUGACUAACCUACCCUGGAGUGGGGGAUAACUGAGGGAAACCUUAGCUAAUACCGCAUAAUACCUACGGGUCAAAGGAGCAAUUCGCUUCAGGAGGGGUCGCGGGCCGAUUAGUUAGUUGGCGGGGUAAUGGCCCACCAAGACAGUGAUCGGUA